AUUGAACGCUGGCGGCAGGCCUAACACAUGCAAGUCGAGCGGAUGAAGGGAGCUUGCUCCUGGAUUCAGCGGCGGACGGGUGAGUAAUGCCUAGGAAUCUGCCUGGUAGUGGGGGAUAACGUCCGGAAACGGGCGCUAAUACCGCAUACGUCCUGAGGGAGAAAGUGGGGGAUCUUCGGACCUCACGCUAUCAGAUGAGCCUAGGUCGGAUUAGCUAGUUGGUGGGGUAAAGGCCUACCAAGGCGACGAUCCGUAACUGGUCUGAGAGGAUGAUCAGUCACCCUGGAACUGGGACACGGUCCAGGCUCCUAAGGGAGGCAGCAGUGGGGAAUAUUGGACAAUGGGCGAAAGCCUGAUCCAGCCAUGCCGCGUGUGUGAAGAAGGUCUUCGGAUUGUAAAGCACUUUAAGUUGGGAGGAAGGGCAGUAAGUUAAUACCUUGCUGUUUUGACGUUACCAACAGAAUAAGCACCGGCUAACUUCGUG
rnacentral:rRNA from 1 species